rnacentral:rRNA from 1 species
AUACCGGAAACCUCGGAUACUACUGUACAUUCGGAGCCGAGCUGUAUAAGGUCCACGACCGACGAGGGAAAGAGAAGCCGUUGGACACCAUGGAUAAGGCUUCCCUGGUUCUCCUGAGUCUCGUCGUUCCCUUGGUUCUUCUUCUUCUGCCGCUCUCGCGCCCGGCGUCGGUGGUGACCCAUCUCCCCGGCUUCCAUGGCCGCCUUCCCUUCCGCCUCGAGACCGGGUACGUCGGCGUGGACGAGGAGACGGGAGCGGAGCUCUUCUACUACUUCGUGGAGUCAGAGAGGAGCCCCGACACGGACCCGGUGAUCCUGUGGAUGACGGGUGGGCCCUUCUGCUCUGGCAUGGUUUUCUUCGAAGUUGGUCCUAUGAAAUUUGUGUUGGCACCUUAUAAUGGUAGUUUGCCACAAUUGGCCUAUAAUCCCUAUUCAUGGUCCAAGACAACAAGCAUCAUCUUGUUGGAUUCACCAGUUGGUACUGGUUUCUCGUACGCUCGUGACGUGGAAGGUUAUCACGAUAUUGGGGAUUUCUCCUUUUCUAUGCAUGUCUUAAUAUUUCUCAACAAGUGGUUUACCGAUCACCCACACUACCAAUCCAAUCCUUUCUUUGUUGGAGGAAGUUCAUAUGCUGGAAAGAUGUCUCCAAUUAUCGCACAACACAUUUCGCAAGAAAUCGAACUGGGGAAGCAACCCAAGAUUAAUCUCAAGGGCUAUGUAGUCGGCAACCCUGUUACAGGCUCAGAUUAUGAUGACAAUUUCAGAGUACCAUAUGCUCAUGGUGUUGGGAUUAUAUCCGAUCAACUAUAUGAGGCUGCAAUUCGGAAUUGUAAAGGAAGCUAUAUAAGACCGACAGACAAAAUGUGUGCCAGGGUGCUAAACACUUUCCAAAAUCUCGUGUCUGAAAUUGAUGUAUCACAAAUCCUGGGUGUCAAUUGUAUAAGGGGUAUGUUAACACAUAGAUUUCUAUCAGAAGAAUACAUUCAACUAAGUGACCCGUCUCCCGAGCAACCUACCUUAGAUUGUUUUUCAUACCGUUACUACCUAUGUAAUAUUUGGGCGAACGACGAUUCCACGAGAGAAGCUCUUGGGGUGAAGCGGGUAACCAAUCAUAUAUGACAUGUUUCCCCCCUUUAUAAUAAGUCUCCAUACAUAUUCUAAAAAACUAUAUGCAUACAUGGUCAAGUAGCUAGCAUAUGAGAUAUUUGAUUUGCUUUGUCGCCAGAUCGCAAUGCUAGUUUAGCUGGCCUUUCGACACAAUGCAGUCUGGAAGGUUGACUAAAUGAUCCAAGAAUUGAGUAACAUAGCCGCUUCACAUGGUUGCAAUUCAGACCCAUAGAAGUAAAUGAUGUUAUGUGACAUAUUGGAGUUUCUAGCUGUAUUAAGAGUAGACGAUCGAGGCACCCUAACCUUUGUGUAACAUGGUCCAAUCAUCAUUGAAACAAUGCAUCCAUUUAGGGAACAAUCGGAGAGUUUGUAAGAUGCAAGAAAAGUAUCCCAUACACAUCCGAGGUCCCCAGCAGCAUAAAGUACCAUUUCAACCUCACAAGCAGGGGCUAUCGUUCGCUUGUGUUUAGCGGAGACCAUGAUCUUGUGAUACCAUUUUUGAGCACGCAUGCGUGGAUUAGAUCCUUCAACUUCUCCGUAGUCGAUGAUUGGAGAGCAUGGCAUCUUGAUGGGCAGGUUGCAGGAUUUACAAUCACAUAUGCCAACUAUAUGACAUUUGUGACAAUAAAGGGUGGUGGCCACGUAUCCAUAGAACACCGACCUAAGGAAUGUCUUGCCAUGGUUCAGCGCUGGUUGGAUAAUGAGCCUCUAUGAUCUGCCCUAUUUAGUUUUGUCAUUUUCUCCUUGCUCGAAUCAUGUGGGUUUUUAAUGUUCAAUAGAAGUUCAGACCUCCACCAAGUAUUUUUCAAAUGAUGGACGAGUUCUAUAAAAGAUGCACUCGUGGCAAAAUUCCUUUACAUGAAAGUGUUCCUUUUAUCCG